rnacentral:rRNA from 1 species
UUUCAACAACGGAUCUCUUGGUUCCAGCAUCGAUGAGAACGCAGCGAAAUGCGAUAAGUAAUGUGAAUUGCAGAAUUCAGUGAAUCAUCGAAUCUUUGAACGCACUUGCGCCCCUCGGUAUUCCGGGGGGCAUGCCGGUUCGAGCGUCAUUGCACCCCUC